CUGGAUCAAUUAGGUGAAUUCUUGCUUGCUUAAUUUGUGUAUGAUUUUCUUCCUCUAUAUCCCCUCCUUUCUUUAUUUUUGCUCACCGUAUUAUGCAGCUAUAAUUCUCUACUUCCAUCUACAAUGCACAGGUCAGUAGACACGGCAGCACUUCUAGAAUCUCGAUUUUGUUGUCAGCGACCGUGAGGGAAACACAAUGGAAAUUUGUGUAACAGCCAAUCGCAUAUUUCAAUUCAGAGAACAAUUGAAGGAAGGCUCAGUCUAUAAAUUUAAGAUGUUGUACGCACUGAAGAAGUACAGAGCCGCAGAUCAUCUGUACCGAAUAGGCGUUGCUUAACAUGCAGAGAUUCAUGAAGUCAUUCCUCAGCCCGGAAAUUUCCCUCUGUUUGCAUAUAUGAUAAACAAAAAGGUAUAUUUAUGUUUGCCAGAAGAAAUGGCAGCCGGUUGAGAGAGCAAAGAGUUAGUCAAAGAGUCGGGAUCUAGAAAUGAGUUGAGAUCUUGCAACAGCUAGCAUCUCAAAGAAGUUGAUGCAAAGCCUAGAACCAAUAUGAAGAUUGUUUAUAAAGAAGCCCAGUAUCUUAGAAGUUCGCAAGAAGAAAUGUCCAUAUUGUUGAACCAUGGGCAGGGAGUGCCAAACCUUAGAUGAUGAGAGUGGUGAACUAGAAUUUAGUACUGUAACAUUGUGUCAUUUCCAUGCCGGUAAUUAUCUGUGAUGUAUGUUUUAAGAGAUAACUGAAGAAGAGGUUAAUUAGUUGAUGUGUUAGUAUA